rnacentral:rRNA from 1 species
CCUACGGGAGGCAGCAGUGAGGAAUAUUGGUCAAUGGCCGGAAGGCUGAACCAGCCAAGCCGCGUGAAGGACGAAGGUGCCAAGUAUUGUAAACUUCUUUUGUCAAGGGACAAAAUCAGGCACUAGAGCCUGACUGAGGGUACUUGAAGAAAAAGCAUCGGCUAACUCCGUGCCAGCAGCCGCGGUAAUACGGAGGAUGCGAGCGUUAUCCGGAUUUAUUGGGUUUAAAGGGUGCGCAGGCGGCCUGUUAAGUCAGCGGUCAAAGCCCGGGGCUCAACCCCGGCCCGCCGUUGAAACUGGCAGGCUGGAGUUGGAGAGAAGUAUGCGGAAUGCGCGGUGUAGCGGUGAAAUGCAUAGAUAUCGCGCAGAACUCCGAUUGCGAAGGCAGCAUGCCGGCUCCACACUGACGCUGAGGCACGAAAGCGUGGGUAUCGAACAGGAUUAGAUACCCGGGUAGUC